GGAUCCAGACUUUGAUCCUGGCUCAGGAUGAACGCUGGCGGCGUGCCUAACACAUGCAAGUCAACGAAGCUUGACGGAUGAUUUCUUCGGAAUGAAACCUGAUAUGACUUAGUGGCGGACGGGUGAGUAACACGUGAGCAACCUGCCUUUCAGAGGGGGAUAUCGGCUGGAAACGGUCGCUAAUACCGCAUGAUGUGUUCGGAUGGCAUCAUCUGAACAUCAAAGAUUUAUCGCUGAAAGAUGGGCUCGCGUCUGAUUAGAUAGUUGGUGGGGUAACGGCCUACCGAGUCUACGAUCAGUAGCCGGACUGAGAGGUUGAACGGCCACAUUGGGACUGAGAUACGGCCCAGACUCCUACGGGAGGCAGCAGUGGGGAAUAUUGCACAAUGGGGGAAACCCUGAUGCAGCAACGCCGCGUGAAGGAUGACGGUUUUCGGAUUGUAAACUUCUUUUCUUAGUGACGAAGACAGUGACGGUAGCUGAGGAAUAAGCAUCGGCUAACUACGUGCCAGCAGCCGCGGUAAUACGUAGGAUGCAAGCGUUAUCCGGAUUUACUGGGUGUAAAGGGAGCGCAGGCGGGACUGCAAGUUGGAUGUGAAAUACCGUGGCUUAACCACGGAACUGCAUCCAAAACUGUAGUUCUUGAGUGAAGUAGAGGCAAGCGGAAUUCCGAGUGUAGCGGUGAAAUGCGUAGAUAUUCGGAGGAACACCAGUGGCGAAGGCGGCUUGCUGGGCUUUAACUGACGCUGAGGCUCGAAAGUGUGGGGAGCAAACAGGAUUAGAUACCCUGGUAGUCCACACUGUAAACGAUGAUAGCUAGGUGUGGGGGGUCUGACCCCUUCCGUGCCGGAGUUAACGCAAUAAGCUAUCCACCUGGGGAGUACGACCAAAAGGUUGCAACUCAAAGGAAUUGACGG
rnacentral:rRNA from 1 species